UUUCAUUCGAUUUUGGUAUGGAUGCAGAGGAAGGACACGCAGCAUCGAAACAGCUUCUGAAACGAUUUUCUGCGUAAGGUUCAAAGGGCGCACACUGACACGUUUCCACGGUGUCUGUCACAAAGAGAGAGAGAGAGACAGAGAAAUAUGGUAGAAGACAUCAUCAGUAUGAGUAAUUGAACCAGUGCAGCUAUAUCCAAAAUUAAAUCUUAAAUUUCUCUCAAGCCAGGGAACACUCCAUCACUCCGCCAGGUUUCCUUUCUCCCCAACAGAAUUCAGUUCCGCCAAUUUCGAAUUACAGAUGUAAUUAAAUAGCAUCAGUUUUGUUCAAGUGGGGCCCUCACACGAAUUUAUUUUAAUAAAAAAGGGGGGUCGCAGAAACCCUAUGCUAUUCCUAUGCCCCAGACUGUACAGCAGAGAUUUAGGGAGGUGGGCGUGGUCAGAGCUACGAGACUGGUACAGUAUUCCUAGUGCCCCUGAACUUCAUCUAAACUAUGCUUAACCUUUCUACUCUCAUACCUCACCUGAAAACGAACUUUGCGUUUAAACUUCCCGUUCUUUCCAAAAUUCAUCAAUGAAGCAUUCAAGAUAUAAUCAAGAUCUUAGAUUUUAUUGUUGCCAAUUCUUCUCUCACACACGCACACACUGUCUGAAACCGCUUGUCCCAUAUGGGGUCACGGUGAGCCAGAG